rnacentral:tRNA from 1 species
GUCCCUAUCGUCUAGAGGCCUAGGACAGCAGCCCCUCACGCUGCGAACAUGGGUUCGACUCCCAUUGGGGACGCCA